AUGGGCAUGACUCUUACAGAAUUCCAGCUUGUAUGGAGUUAUAUUCUAGGAGCUAAUAGCAAAAAUGUGAGUGGAAAGCCUCAUGAAAGUGCCUCCGAAAAUCUGAAAAAAAUUAGUGUGCAAGACCUAACUGUAUUCACUCCUUCAAAUUCUGCCAUCCUAUUUAAAAAGCAAACUACAGUACUCUCUCCGUUGCCGAAUGAAACCAAAACCUUAUGUACCUUUCCUGAUUUAAUUCACCAUGACAUGAACUUGAUGACCGAUGCUCUAAGAAAAGAUGCAAAUAUUCCAUUUCCCAUCCUUGAAAAACCUGCAAAAAUUCCAUUUCCCAUCCUUGAGCCAACCAAGGCUAGAGCAGCCCGUAACUCAGGUGAAAAUGAUGAAAACUCUCCGCCGAAGAAAAAACUUGCCUUGAUGAUUUCUGAAGCAGCAACAAUAAAGCAAUGUGACUCAACAAGUGAUAAAAAAGAUACAAGUGAUACAAGAAAUAAAGCCUCAGUAAAAUCUUCUUCUGGGAAUCCGUCUGUGCUUAUUGUAGAUUCCAACGAUACAAUUAUCGGAAGGGUGGAACUUGAUAUCAGAACCCUGCUGGGUCUAAAUAGCUUUAUUUCCAAAGGCAUUUCGGGUCCUAUACCCAUCAUCAAUAACAAUGAGACGAAUAUAACAAAACUCGAAAGCACACAAACACAACUGACAUUAAUUUUACAUGUACAUUGUAAUGAACAAGGAUAACCAGCAUACUACGAAGCAUAAAUUAGGGACUUACAGAACGAGUAGGAUAAGUGGAAUUUUUGCUAUUUCAAGAAAUAAGCGAGAAAAGUUUCAAAAUAACAUUCAGCUAAUGGCGGAAAUAAAGUUCAAACUCAAUAUUUGAUGUUGAAAAUUAUACUUUUGUAGUGAAUUUUUCACAAAAUUUCAACAUUAUUUUGAGUUGAAAUAAUUUAUUUUCAACAAUUAAAGCGCGCGCCUUGCAAAGACACUGGUUCCAGGUAUGAAGUAUUCCUGCGGUCUCAAACACGCUAAUAUGCGUCUCUCGUUAGCCGCACUGUGUUUGACGCAAUGCGUGAAGUAUUCCUGGGGUCUUGUGGGCGCCUAGAAUAUGUCCGCGCCUACCACAAUAUUUGGCGCAAUGCGUAAAGUAUUCCUCGGAUCUUGUAGACGCCAAAAUGCGUUCCGCGCUGACUGCACUGUGUUCAGCGUAAUUAUUAUUCAAACUCGCCAAGUCAGCGUUCUUCGAUUUAUCAUUACCACGCCGUUUGAUGACCGCAUAAGUACGCAUUAUUGUUUAGCUAUGUUCGCUAUGGGAGGGCAAUCUGGCAGCGAGCGAGGAAGGACAGUUUAUAUUCUUUUUCGGAGAACUCACGUAUUAAAAUUAGAUAAAAAUAACUACUUUUAAUAAUCUUCCGAAAAUGAAUAACUUCCUCGAAUAUCACGAGUGUCUUUUCCAAAAGCUCCAGGGUUUUCGCUCACUUUCAACCAAGAAAUUUGCGAUUCACGUUGAUGCCACAGCAUUCGAACAACAACAUAAUAACCAGCACUACCUCUCUACUUAUUUUUAGGAAAAGGAUACACGCGAAAAGUUUGAAAUCCAUCAAAAAAAGUAAUUAUAACCAACCUACGUAAAAUUCAAAUACUCAAUUGCUGACAUCCCUAUUUUUACUUUAUGAAACACCACGAUUCUGUCAAAGGAGAUCUGUAAUUUUGUACAUGAUUCACAUUCGCUUGAACAUUGAUUGAGCGAGUGAUGAGGAUCUUGGAGGACAAAGCCCAUAAGUCCAGUUUUUGCUAUUUCGAGAAAGACGUGUUUGAAGUUUCGAAAUUACAUGGAUCCUGAUAGCUGAAAUUAGUUCAAACUGACUUUUCGGUGCUUUAAAAUUGGAAUUUGGGAGCGAAUCUAUCUCAGAAUAUGUAUUAGGACUAGUGUCACUUGAAAUUAUUAAUAUCUCAAAUUCUUAAAAAACUGCACUAAUGGGUUUUGUCCUCCAAGCCGAAAAUUCUCAUUACGCAAAGAUCGAAAAUAAUGUAAGACGGACGCAGCACAUGGUGCAAUGUACAUCGCGUCAACUGCUUUCAAAUGAAAUGCUACGCAUAUCCAAUACAGUACAAGUGUCGCGUCGACAUGGGUGGAAACGGGUACAAACGCUGAAAAAUUCACUUUGCAGCCGUACUUUUCUGAAAAUUGCCAAGAUAGUUCAAUUUAAGAAACACAUAGUGCAUCAACACGUGUCAGUGUCGAACAUUACGCCAAAUCAAAUAAAAAAAAACCGGCACCAAAUCCCACUUUCUACGCCGAAUGACCCUUCACACACACGGAAAAAAUGGAUUGUUGAUAAAACAAUUAAAUUGUAAAAAAAUAUGUCCUACAUCUUCCAAAUGUACAUUUUACAAUAGUGGAAAGCUAAUUUAACGGCGAGGGUGGUUAAAUUAGCAAUUUUUAAUUGUAAAUUCAACAUUUACACUUCGCGGACGCCUACUUUAGCUACGAAAUUGUUAAAUCAGCAAUGUUAUUUUUCUCCGUGCACAACCGAGGGGAAAAAUCUUGAUACGGCGGAAAAUCUACACAAGUAGUUUCACCGGAAUGCAACCGAUUAAAUAGCGACGAGAUACCCUCCGCCUCCCCACAAUAAAUAAAUUCUCGAAUGAAUUCCGUCUAGUGAGGCAUCAAAGUCAGGAAGCUCUGUUCUGAUUUCAGCGCAGUCCGCCGUUCCGCACGAGUGGCAGUGCUGAAAGCUGAAAUCACUGCCAAGUUCAAUCGCCUCCGCCACUCACCAUCGGGGCCAAGCAGUGGCGUGGUGUGAAUGAUCGAUUAUCGAUACCUCGCCAU
rnacentral:lncRNA from 1 species